rnacentral:tRNA from 1 species
CGCGGUGUAGCUCAGUCGGAUAGAGCCCCUGCUUUCUACAUACGGAGAUUCGACUCUUCAGUGUAUGGGCAGGGAGGUCGCAGGUUCAAGUCCUGCCGCCGCGUCCA